rnacentral:lncRNA from 1 species
ACUGGUGCGCAGUGAUACUUGUGUGCCGUGCGCCAGCUCUCCUCGGGAAGAGAGAGGGAAAUAACAUUUAUUAUUGCCUAAAGGUCCUACUUCUGGUAGGCUCCUGACCCAGCACGUGCGGCACCAGAAGUAGCCACAAUCCCAGCUGCUGGGACGCUGGUUGAGUGGUAGUUUAGAAAAUGUCCACUUUCUGAAGAUGGAGUUCGCGGGACACUUCCACAAGGUGAUGGAUAGGCCCCGCACGCUUUGCAAUGCGCGCAAGCGACCCGUACCGUACCGGCGGCCAACCCCUCCCAGCCCCAGCUCGUGCAGCCUGGGAUCCUGGUCAUGCACCACAUCAAGUCACUCCAGCAGCUCAGAGCACUCAUCGGACAACUCCUGAGGGAAAGAAAUGACAGCUAUACAGAUCACAAAUGCAGCAGCAAUUGCUUUGUCAAAUCAUUCCAUCAUGCACUUUGCUGCUGGCAACACAACAGCUGCGCUAGUUGGCUCAUGCUCGAUUUAUGAAUUUCCCAAAGCAUAAUUUUCAUGAAAGUUCCAAUAUACAAAUGCCAACAAAAGCAACACUAAAGCUACGCAUUUUGGUCACUUCUGUGGCAGUGCGCUUGUUUGCAUUAAACAAGAGUGCCAAAGAGCAGAAUGGGCCUGCCUCCACAACAAGUGUGGUAUCAGAACAGGCGCAACCCCGUAUAUUGUCUGUUUUGCACCGAUAAAAAUGUAGUAGAGUAUGCCCCAAGAGAAGAUUCAGAACAGUGUUAAUUACAAAUAAGGCACUUUUAGAAGACCAUGCAUAGUAAUUAUGGUGCACACCCAUUGUCUGCUCCUUUUAUUAUUACACAGGCAAGAUAUCUUGUAGCACAGGCUGAUUCGGGACAACAAUGCUUAAGUGCACUUUCCUAUCUCUUAAAGAAGCAAAUGACAAAAUGGAACAGAAAAAUAAAUCAUUACAAAUUAGGAGGAAAACACGUUUGAAGUGUUGCUGCAUGUCUUGAAGUGCCACACCUCAAGCUUGUCUGUACAUAGUCUGGCCACCACUGUUCCCUUGUUCAACUUUUGCCUUCCGUUCUUGGCUCCUGUUACCAUGCACAUUAUUUUCUUUGUACAUGGUGCUUGCUUGCUGUAGGCUGCUAUUAUGCACAGCAAUAGAAGCCAGGAGACUGCAGCAGUCACAGGAAAACACAACAUUGCAAGCAAGCAGCACUGAAUUCAAAAAUUGUUCUUGAGCAAGUCAGCCGAUACAUGGAGAAGCACAGAUAAGAAGCACAUGCUGUUGUGUUCCUUGCUUAUCUGCACUAAAAUGGCUUUCACAGCAUGGGAUUGACAGAGGCAGGUUCAGCAAACAAGCUAGGUUCUUGCUUGCACUAAGUGAACCCGAUAUUUAAUUGGUUGCACAUCAUACUGCAACUUUCAUUUCCAGACACUAAGUAUUUUAGACAGGCUGUCCAGUCCGGCGUUCACACAUCACCACUCGACCCUGCAUGCCCCCGCAUAUAUAUAUUUUUUUCAUGACAUGGCUGAUAUGUGACCCUAACAAUAACCACAACAGUUAGAACAACCAGUCUAGUGCGCAACUUUCAUGGAUACCCUACUCUGCCCAUUUUUAAUGUGUCCAUGGCAUAGUUUGUUGACAUUUGUAUGAUGUGUUCAACUGAGAGCACAAGAUAGGCUCUUCCCAGACUUCAUGACAAGCAUGCAAAAGAUGGCAGACUGGCAGAGAGCCCACCUGCAAAGGACAGGCCUGACUAGCACUGCCAAUAAAUGCUAAGGCGGUAGCAAAUUCACUUUUGCAUACAAAUACCGCAACAGUUCUAAAAUAAAGUGCACAGAGACAGCUCACAAGUUUUCAUUGUCGAGAGGCGUCCAAGCAGUAAACACAUGUGAU